AAUACAUGCAAGUCGAGCGAACAGACGAGGAGCUUGCUCCUCUGACGUUAGCGGCGGACGGGUGAGUAACACGUGGAUAACCUACCUAUAAGACUGGGAUAACUUCGGGAAACCGGAGCUAAUACCGGAUAAUAUAUUGAACCGCAUGGUUCAAUAGUGAAAGACGGUUUUGCUGUCACUUAUAGAUGGAUCCGCGCCGCAUUAGCUAGUUGGUAAGGUAACGGCUUACCAAGGCAACGAUGCGUAGCCGACCUGAGAGGGUGAUCGGCCACACUGGAACUGAGACACGGUCCAGACUCCUACGGGAGGCAGCAGUAGGGAAUCUUCCGCAAUGGGCGAAAGCCUGACGGAGCAACGCCGCGUGAGUGAUGAAGGUCUUCGGAUCGUAAAACUCUGUUAUUAGGGAAGAACAAAUGUGUAAGUAACUAUGCACGUCUUGACGGUACCUAAUCAGAAAGCCACGGCUAACUACGUGCCAGCAGCCGCGGUAAUACGUAGGUGGCAAGCGUUAUCCGGAAUUAUUGGGCGUAAAGCGCGCGUAGGCGGUUUUUUAAGUCUGAUGUGAAAGCCCACGGCUCAACCGUGGAGGGUCAUUGGAAACUGGAAAACUUGAGUGCAGAAGAGGAAAGUGGAAUUCCAUGUGUAGCGGUGAAAUGCGCAGAGAUAUGGAGGAACACCAGUGGCGAAGG
rnacentral:rRNA from 1 species